GUUAAGCGACUAAGCGUACACGGUGGAUGCCCUGGCAGUCAGAGGCGAUGAAGGACGUGCUAAUCUGCGAUAAGCGUCGGUAAGGUGAUAUGAACCGUUAUAACCGGCGAUUUCCGAAUGGGGAAACCCAGUGUGUUUCGACACACUAUCAUUAACUGAAUCCAUAGGUUAAUGAGGCGAACCGGGGGAACUGAAACAUCUAAGUACCCCGAGGAAAAGAAAUCAACCGAGAUUCCCCCAGUAGCGGCGAGCGAACGGGGAGCAGCCCAGAGCCUGAAUCAGUGUGUGUGUUAGUGGAAGCGUCUGGAAAGGCGCGCGAUACAGGGUGACAGCCCCGUACACAAAAAUGCACAUGCUGUGAGCUCGAUGAGUAGGGCGGGACACGUGGUAUCCUGUCUGAAUAUGGGGGGACCAUCCUCCAAGGCUAAAUACUCCUGACUGACCGAUAGUGAACCAGUACCGUGAGGGAAAGGCGAAAAGAACCCCGGCGAGGGGAGUGAAAAAGAACCUGAAACCGUGUACGUACAAGCAGUGGGAGCACGCUUAGGCGUGUGACUGCGUACCUUUUGUAUAAUGGGUCAGCGACUUAUAUUCUGUAGCAAGGUUAACCGAAUAGGGGAGCCGAAGGGAAACCGAGUCUUAACUGGGCGUUAAGUUGCAGGGUAUAGACCCGAAACCCGGUGAUCUAGCCAUGGGCAGGUUGAAGGUUGGGUAACACUAACUGGAGGACCGAACCGACUAAUGUUGAAAAAUUAGCGGAUGACUUGUGGCUGGGGGUGAAAGGCCAAUCAAACCGGGAGAUAGCUGGUUCUCCCCGAAAGCUAUUUAGGUAGCGCCUCGUGAAUUCAUCUCCGGGGGUAGAGCACUGUUUCGGCAAGGGGGUCAUCCCGACUUACCAACCCGAUGCAAACUGCGAAUACCGGAGAAUGUUAUCACGGGAGACACACGGCGGGUGCUAACGUCCGUCGUGAAGAGGGAAACAACCCAGACCGCCAGCUAAGGUCCCAAAGUCAUGGUUAAGUGGGAAACGAUGUGGGAAGGCCCAGACAGCCAGGAUGUUGGCUUAGAAGCAGCCAUCAUUUAAAGAAAGCGUAAUAGCUCACUGGUCGAGUCGGCCUGCGCGGAAGAUGUAACGGGGCUAAACCAUGCACCGAAGCUGCGGCAGCGACGCUGAUGCGUUGUUGGGUAGGGGAGCGUUCUGUAAGCCUGCGAAGGUGUGCUGUGAGGCAUGCUGGAGGUAUCAGAAGUGCGAAUGCUGACAUAAGUAACGAUAAAGCGGGUGAAAAGCCCGCUCGCCGGAAGACCAAGGGUUCCUGUCCAACGUUAAUCGGGGCAGGGUGAGUCGACCCCUAAGGCGAGGCCGAAAGGCGUAGUCGAUGGGAAACAGGUUAAUAUUCCUGUACUUGGUGUUACUGCGAAGGGGGGACGGAGAAGGCUAUGUUGGCCGGGCGACGGUUGUCCCGGUUUAAGCGUGUAGGCUGGUUUUCCAGGCAAAUCCGGAAAAUCAAGGCUGAGGCGUGAUGACGAGGCACUACGGUGCUGAAGCAACAAAUGCCCUGCUUCCAGGAAAAGCCUCUAAGCAUCAGGUAACAUCAAAUCGUACCCCAAACCGACACAGGUGGUCAGGUAGAGAAUACCAAGGCGCUUGAGAGAACUCGGGUGAAGGAACUAGGCAAAAUGGUGCCGUAACUUCGGGAGAAGG
rnacentral:rRNA from 1 species